UGGGGAAUAUUGCACAAUGGGCGGAAGCCUGAUGCAGCGACGCCGCGUGGGGGAUGAAGGCCUUCGGGUUGUAAACUCCUUUCGACAGGGACGAAGCUUUUGUGACGGUACCUGUAUAAGAAGCACCGGCUAACUACGUGCCAGCAGCCGCGGUAAUACGUAGGGUGCGAGCGUUGUCCGGAAUUACUGGGCGUAAAGAGCUCGUAGGUGGUUUGUCGCGUCGUCUGUGAAAUUCCGGGGCUUAACUCCGGGCGUGCAGGCGAUACGGGCUGACUUGAGUGCUGUAGGGGAGACUAGAAUUCCUGGUGUAGCGGUGAAAUGCGCAGAUAUCAGGAGGAACACCGAUGGCGAAGGCAGGUCUCUGGGCAGUAACUGACGCUGAGGAGCGAAAGCAUGGGUAGCGAACAGG
rnacentral:rRNA from 1 species